AUUGAACGCUGGCGGCAUGCUUUACACAUGCAAGUCGAACGGUAACAGGGUGCUUGCACCGCUGACGAGUGGCGAACGGGUGAGUAAUGCGUCGGAACGUGCCGAGUAGUGGGGGAUAACGCAGCGAAAGUUGUGCUAAUACCGCAUACGUACUGAGGUAGAAAGUGGGGGACCUUCGGGCCUCACGCUAUUCGAGCGGCCGACGUCUGAUUAGCUAGUAGGUGAGGUAAAGGCUCACCUAGGCGACGACCAGUAGCGGGUCUGAGAGGAUGAUCCGCCACACUGGGACUGAGACACGGCCCAGACUCCUACGGGAGGCAGCAGUGGGGAAUUUUGGACAAUGGGCGAAAGCCUGAUCCAGCCAUGCCGCGUGUCUGAAGAAGGCCUUCGGGUUGUAAAGGACUUUUGUCGGGGAGGAAAUCCCCAGCGUUAAUACCGCUGGGGGAUGACAGUACCUGAAGAAUAAGCACCGGCUAACUACGAGCCAGCCGCCGCGGUAAUAC
rnacentral:rRNA from 1 species